rnacentral:rRNA from 1 species
UACGUAGGGUGCAGGCGUUAAUCGGAAUUACUGGGCGUAAAGCGUGCGCAGGCGGUCUGCUAAGAGAGAUGUGAAAUCCCCGGGCUUAACCUGGGAACUGCGUUUCUAACUGGCAGGCUAGAGUGUGGCAGAGGGGGGGUGGAAUUCCACGUGUAGCAGUGAAAUGCGUAGAGAUGUGGAGGAACACCGAUGGCGAAGGCAGCCCCCUGGGCUAACACUGACGCUCAUGCACGAAAGCGUGGGGAGCAAACAGG